rnacentral:rRNA from 1 species
GACGAACGCUGGCGGCGCGCUUAACACAUGCAGGUCGAACGGAAAGGCCUGCUUUCCCUUGUGGAUUGCGGGUACUCGAGUGGCGAACGGGUGAGUAACACGUGAGUGAUCUGCCCCCAACUUGGGUAUAAGCCUGGGAAACUGGGUCUAAUUCCCGAUAGGACUGCAGGGUGGUGCCUGUGGUGGAAAACGAUUUUCUAGUGGUUGGGGAUGAGCUCGCGGCCUAUCAGCUUGUUGGUGGGGUAAUGGCCUACCAAGGCGGCGACGGGUAGCCGGCCUGGGAGGGUGGACGGCCACAUUGGGACUGAGAUACGGCCCAGACUCCUACGGGAGGCAGCAGUGGGGAAUAUUGCACAAUGGGCGGAAGCCUGAUGCAGCGACGCCGCGUGGGGGAUGACGGCCUUCGGGUUGUAAACUCCUUUCGACCGCGAGGAAGCCACCUGGUUGGAAGGGUGGUGACGGUAGUGGUAGAAGAAGCACCGGCUAACUACGUG